rnacentral:rRNA from 1 species
UCUGGUGACUUAUCGGAGAGGUCACACCUCUUCCCAUUCCGAACAGAGAAGUUAAGCUCUCCAGAGGCGAUGAUACUCGAAAGGGGAAAGUAGCUCGUCGCCAGAA